CUUUGGACUUGGUAUGUUCGAGAAACGAAGAUGGUCGUCUCUCUUCUACCUGCGACGGCGCCCCGAUGCUGUUUGGGAUUCUUUUCACCGCCUGAAACGAUCUGCGUAAAGUGUUCUUCACGGGGUGAUAAACAGAGCAACAGAUGGAGGAAUAAAACCUCUUCAUGUGGCGACUCUAAAGCGACACAUAGAGAGGAUGCAGUUACUCUUGGAUUUGGGAGCUUUUGUUGCUCAUAUCACUGGAAGAUGGAACCCCAAUAGAUCUUAUAGGUUUAUCUGCAUACUGUGGAGAUUCUGAGAAGUACAUAAUAAAAGUGUAACAGGUUUGCCUUAAUCAAGUUUGUUGUUUUAUAUCCUGUUGUUAGUUGAGCAAGUAAUGUUGCUAAGGUAUAUAUUUUAUGUAUUCUCACGAUCUAUUGCCAAUAUUUUCACUUGCUUAAUGGUCGCUGAAAAUAUAUAUAUUCCUACUUUCACAUCUGGAAAGCAUGAAGUUCUCAAUUUUUGAGGUUGUAUUUCCCCAUCUGAGGUUACUUUCUUCUUCCAUAAUAAUGAAAGAUUCUUCUAUAAAAUCUACAUCAGCUAAUGGUGUUUUAGAAAAAAGUGUGUGAGGGUGUAGCAACAUUGUAGAAGUUUGCUGGAGGGAUUUACAAAGACUCAGGACAGAUGGGAAGUUUUGAGGUCACAAAAGGAGAGAUAACUCCAGCUGGAACAACAAGGGAGUAGAAACAAAGGUGAUCCAAGUUUGGGUGAAUAUAGAAGAAAGAAAAUACUCGGACGUUUUAAAUAUGUUGAUGCAUAGUAAGCCUUUUGUUCUGUCAACUUGCAUAGUAAUUGAGUAGGAGAGAAUGGAAAGCUUUCAAAUACACAGAUUUUCUUUUGAGUUA